AUGUAUUUACGUUAGUACUCAGCGGGAUAAUGGUUCACCGCUUACAUUUUUCUUUGAAGAAUGCUUCGAAGAAAGUUCUAUGUAGAAUUCUUCGAUACCAGGUUAUUCAUAAAAGUAGCUAUGCGGCUAAAUACUACUGUGUUCAUAUUUACAAGUCAACAAAAAGUUGGUUACUAUUUGAAUGUGUGAAAGUUGAAGGCUUCACCGAAUCGGAGUAUUCACCAAAUUCAAAAAAGUAUCAAACUCGCCAAAGGCCGAAAAGAGACUCAUCCACAAAAUUAAAAGAAAACCAUAAUACUUAUUUUCAUAACGAAUUUAAUACAUGUAUUUUCAUAAAUAAAGCAAAAUUAAUAUGCAAUUUUUUCUAUUCUACUAUUGACCUUGGCAUAGAAGAAUUCUCCGUUAACUUUGG